UACGGAGGGUGCAAGCGUUGUCCGGAUUUACUGGGUUUAAAGGGUGCGUAGGCGGACAGGUAAGUCAGUGGUGAAAUCCCCGAGCUCAACUUGGGAACUGCCGUUGAUACUAUUUGUCUUGAAUACCGUGGAGGUGAGCGGAAUAUGUCAUGUAGCGGUGAAAUGCUUAGAUAUGACAUAGAACACCGAUUGCGAAGGCAGCUCACUACGCGGUCAUUGACGCUGAGGCACGAAAGCGUGGGGAGCAAACAGG
rnacentral:rRNA from 1 species